rnacentral:rRNA from 1 species
AAAGAAACCGCAUGGAAGGAACCUUAAGGAGAAAUCCGCUUUGAGAUGGGCCCGCGUCGCAUUAGCUAGUUGGAGGGAUAAAAGCCCCCCAAGGCGACGAUGCGUAGCCGACCUGAGAGGGUGAACGGCCACAUUGGAACUGAGAAACGGUCCAGACUCCUACGGGAGGCAGCAGUGGGGAAUAUUGCACAAUGGGCGAAAGCCUGAUGCAGCAACGCCGCGUGAGUGAAGAAGGUUUUCGGAUCGUAAAGCUCUGUCAUCCGGGACGAUAAUGACGGUACCGGAAGAGGAAGCCACGGCUAACUACGUGCCAGCAGCCGCGGUAAUACGUAGGUGGCGAGCGUUGUCCGGAAUUACUGGGCGUAAAGGGUGUGCAGGCGGAUAUUUAAGUGAGAUGUGAAAGACCCGGGCUUAACCCGGGCAGUGCAUUUCAAACUGGAUAUCUAGAGUGCAGGAGAGGAGAACGGAAUUCCUAGUGUAGCGGUGAAAUGCGUAGAGAUUAGGAAGAAA